GAUGAAGAACGUAGCGAACUGCGAUAAGUAAUGUGAAUUGCAGAAUUCAGUGAAUCAUCGAGUCUUUGAACGCACAUUGCGCCCCCUGGCAUUCCGGGGGGCAUGCCUGUCCGAGCGUCAUUGCUGCCCUUCAAGCCCGGCUUGUGUGUUGGGUCGUCGUCCCCCCCGGGGGACGGGCCCGAAAGGCAGCGGCGGCACCGCGUCCGGUCCUCGAGCGUAUGGGGCUUUGUCACCCGCUCGAUUAGGGCCGGCCGGGCGCCAGCCGGCGUCUCCAACCUUCUAUUUUACCAGGUUGACCUCGGAUCAGGUAGGGAUACCCGCUGAACUUAAGCAUAUCAAAAGCGGAGGA
rnacentral:misc_RNA from 1 species